GUAAUCGUGUCUUCCUUCACGUUGUUUUUAGCACUGCUGCUGAGGGUGAUUUAAAUGUUAUUGUUAGCAGGCUGAUUUUCAGCAAACAGACAGAUGAAAGUGCAUUGAGACACGCUUCAAAUACGUGACAAGGAAGCACGUUCACAAGUGAGCAACGAACAAAUCUGAACAGGCGGAACUAUGAACGAUGCGGAUUCAUCCUCAAGGAAGCAUGCGAGUUCCCGAGAGCUACAGACUCCCAAGAAUGAGGAU